GACGAACCGUCCAAACGUUAAUCGGAAUUACUGGGCGUAAAGCGUGCGCAGGCGGCUAUGCAAGACAGAUGUGAAAUCCCCGGGCUCAACCUGGGAACUGCAUUUGUGACUGCAUGGCUAGAGUACGGUAGAGGGGGAUGGAAUUCCGCGUGUAGCAGUGAAAUGCGUAGAUAUGCGGAGGAACACCGAUGGCGAAGGCAAUCCCCUGGACCUGUACUGACGCUCAUGCACGAAAGCGUGGGGAGCAAACAGG
rnacentral:rRNA from 1 species